GACGAACGCUGGCGGCGUGCCUAAUACAUGCAAGUCGAACGCUUCUUUCCUCCCGAGUGCUUGCACUCAAUUGGAAAGAGGAGUGGCGGACGGGUGAGUAACACGUGGGUAACCUACCCAUCAGAGGGGGAUAACACUUGGCAACAGGUGCUAAUACCGCAUAACAGUUUAUGCCGCAUGGCAUAAGAGUGAAAGGCGCUUUCGGGUGUCGCUGAUGGAUGGACCCGCGGUGCAUUAGCUAGUUGGUGAGGUAACGGCUCACCAAGGCCACGAUGCAUAGCCGACCUGAGAGGGUGAUCGGCCACACUGGGACUGAGACACGGCCCAGACUCCUACGGGAGGCAGCAGUAGGGAAUCUUCGGCAAUGGACGAAAGUCUGACCGAGCAACGCCGCGUGAGUGAAGAAGGUUUUCGGAUCGUAAAACUCUGUUGUUAGGGAAGAACAAGGACGUUAGUAACUGAACGUCCCCUGACGGUAUCUAACCAGAAAGCCACGGCUAACUACGUG
rnacentral:rRNA from 1 species